GGCUGGAUGAUUCCUUGUGGAAUGAGAAGAGCUUUGCCUUGUUUCCCUCAAGUGGUUGCUGCUACAUUUCUGAGAUUUGGAGUCAGUUUGAGGCCAACUAGUCAGGAAGGCUAAAAUCCACCCCAGAGGGCUCGAAGUCUGAAGCUUGUUCGCUUGAUUUCCCUCUAGAUGAGGUUGUGCUCAUCCAGAAGUGACUGCGUGAUGUUUUGGCUGCUGUCUGAUAUGAAUCGGGAAGAAAAUCACAAGACUAAAAGUUUCCUUAAUAGAAUCCAGCAUAGCCUCUGAGAAUUCUAUGGGAAAUCUGCUGCUGAGCAUACCACACAGCUGUGAAGAAGUGGGUACCGAAGACCAGAGAGGAUGAAAGACCAGGCUUUGUGAAUUCAGUGAUACUUCCUGCACCAUAGACUCUGGAAUCUAAACCAGUUUCUCCCAUGUGGUUCAUGAAUUUCUGCAUAAAAGCUUUGAAAACAUUUCCCAAAAGUCCCCAGGAGCUUUCAUAACCACUAAUUGGCCUCUACUUUUUGGAAGUUUGGUGAUCUAGAAAGUUGGAAUGGAAACUGCCGUCCUGCUAUAAAACACCAAGGAUCCUGGGUAAAAUAGAACACUUUAAAAAUACUGUUGACCUUGCAAGACCUUGAAGAAAAUCCACAUGUUGCAAGAACAAAGAGGAAGGCAAAAUCCAGAGCAUGAAACCUACAAAUUCAGCCACAAACAGUAGCUGCCUUCAGGGAUACCAGGACCCUCCCCUGUGGGUUCUAACUCCCAAGCAAGGACCAGACCACUCAGAUACCUUGUGGACAUUUCGAAAAGGCACUCCACCCCAGUCCUUACCGGUUAAAAGGGGACUCUCAAGAAAGGGGGCCCUCCAUGCUUACUUGCCAGGGACUGUCCUCUCUGUGCUUGGAGUCUUUUCAUGACUAUUAAUAGCACUUGGUUCCCCUUCAGAAAUAUGUAGAUUAGAACGACAAAUUACAUUUCCCUCUGUUCAAAGGCUACUUAGUAAAAGGAUGGGCAAGGAAACAAAAAUAGCUUCCAGCAGCCACAGAGUCAAGGCAUGCCAUUUCCACUUUGUGUUGCACAGGGAUAAAAAAGAUUUUAAGUUAAUAAAAGCAUGCCCUCUAAAAGUUAAUAAAGAUGAGCCCUUCUUCCACAUGGGGUCAAAACACUGUAUGAGUAUCUGUCUGUAUAUAUUGUAUUUAAAAGCUGGAAAACUGAAGAGAGAAAAAUCACUCAUACUUUCUCAAUCCAAAUAAAAC
rnacentral:lncRNA from 1 species